GCACCAGACACAAAACUACUGUACUUUAAAGCAAAUGAACAAAUCGAUGAGAUCGUAUUAACUUGUACAUUAAAAGUAUUAGAUGUCAAUCAGCAUCCGCCAACAUUUUUGCAGUUGCCAUAUCACACCAAACAUCUGGAAACAACUCCCGUUUCCACAGUCAUAUUCUACAACAUUUCAACGAAAGACCCGGAUUUAAUUAAUCAAGUAACGUUUG